rnacentral:rRNA from 1 species
CCAGACUCCUACGGGAGGCAGCAGUGGGGAAUAUUGCACAAUGGGGGAAACCCUGAUGCAGCGACGCCGCGUGAGUGAAGAAGUAUUUCGGUAUGUAAAGCUCUAUCAGCAGGGAAGAUAAUGACGGUACCUGACUAAGAAGCCCCGGCUAACUACGUGCCAGCAGCCGCGGUAAUACGUAGGGGGCAAGCGUUAUCCGGAUUUACUGGGUGUAAAGGGUGCGUAGGUGGCAUGGCAAGUCAGAAGUGAAAGCCCGGGGCUCAACCCCGCGGACUGCUUUUGAAACUGUCAGGCUGGAGUACAGGAGAGGUAAGCGGAAUCCCUAGUGUAGCGGUGAAAUGCGUAGAUAUUAGGAGGAACACCGGUGGCGAAGGCGGCCUGCUGGACGACGACUGACGCUGAGGCUCGAAAGCGUGGGGAGCAAACAGGAUUAGAUACCCGCGUA